rnacentral:sRNA from 1 species
UUUGUAUAUUAAACAAAUAUACACACAUAUAUCGAAAUAUAUAUACAUAAAUUAUUUUGUGUGUGCGAGCGAGAAGGCAAUAGACAAAAGUGCAAAGAGAGCCAAAAUAAAGCAAGCAGUUAGUCAACAUGGAAUGACCCAAGCUGCUUGUGCUGGAACACACACGUGCUCGGAAGAUGCUGCAACAGCCAACAACAACAGCAGCAGCAGCAACGCCAACAGCAACAGCAACAACUGAAGCAGCAGCAGCAAC